AGUGAACGCUGGCGGUAGGCCUAACACAUGCAAGUCGAACGGACGCACAGUAAGAGCUUGCUCUUACGGGUGGCGAGUGGCGGACGGGUGAGGCAUACAUCGGAAUCUACUUUUUCGUGGGGGAUAACGUAGGGAAACUUACGCUAAUACCGCAUAUGACCUACGGGUGAAAGCAGGAGAUCUUCGGACCUUGCGCGAUUGAAUGAGCCGAUGUCGGAUUAGCUAGUUGGCGGGGUAAAGGCCCACCAAGGCGACGAUCCGUAGCUGGUCUGAGAGGAUGAUCAGCCACACUGGAACUGAGACACGGUCCAGACUCCUACGGGAGGCAGCAGUGGGGAAUAUUGGACAAUGGGCGCAAGCCUGAUGCAGCCAUACCGCGUGAGUGAAGAAGGCCUUCGGGUUGUAAAGCCCUGUUGUUGGGAAAGAAAAGCAGCAGGUUAAUACCCCGCUGUUCUGACGGUACCCAAAGAAUAAGCACCGGCUAACUUCGUG
rnacentral:rRNA from 1 species